rnacentral:rRNA from 1 species
UGACGAAGCGACGCCGCGUGCGGGAAGAAGGCCUUCGGGUUGUAAACCGCUGUCGGGAGUUAAGAAGUGCAAGGAUGUUAAUAGCGUUCUUGCUUGACUAAGGCUCCGGAGGAAGCCACGGCUAACUCUGUGCCAGUAGCCGCGGUAAUACAGAGGCGGCAAGCGUUGUUCGGAAUUAUUGGGCGUAAAGAGCACGUAGGCGGCUAUGUAAGUCGGUUGUGAAAGCCUUCCGCUCGACGGAAGAACAGCAUCCGAUACUGCAUGGCUUGAGUGCGGGAGGGGAGAGUGGAACUUCUGGUGGAGCGGUGAAAUGCGUAGAUAUCAGAAGGAACGCCGGCGGCGAAAGCGACUCUCUGGCCCGCAACUGACGCUGAGUGUGCGAAAGCUAGGGGAGCAAACGGGAUUAGAUACCCCGGUAGUCCUAGCCGUAAACGAU